rnacentral:rRNA from 1 species
AACGAACGCUGGCGGCAGGCUUAACACAUGCAAGUCGAGCGAGACCUUCGGGUCUAGCGGCGGACGGGUGAGUAACGCGUGGGAACGUGCCCUUCUCUACGGAAUAGCCCCGGGAAACUGGGAGUAAUACCGUAUACGCCCUUUGGGGGAAAGAUUUAUCGGAGAAGGAUCGGCCCGCGUUGGAUUAGGUAGUUGGUGGGGUAAUGGCCCACCAAGCCGACGAUCCAUAGCUGGUUUGAGAGGAUGAUCAGCCACACUGGGACUGAGACACGGCCCAGACUCCUACGGGAGGCAGCAGUGGGGAAUCUUAGACAAUGGGGGCAACCCUGAUCUAGCCAUGCCGCGUGAGUGAUGAAGGCCUUAGGGUUGUAAAGCUCUUUC